UACGUAGGGAGCAAGCGUUGUUCGGAUUUACUGGGCGUAAAGGGCGCGUAGGCGGCAAAUUAAGUCAGCUGUGAAAUCUCCGAGCUUAACUCGGAACGGUCAGCUGAUACUGAUCUGCUAGAGUGCGGAGGGGGCAAUCGGAAUUCUUGGUGUAGCGGUGAAAUGCGUAGAUAUCAGGAGGAACACCGGUGGCGAAGGCGGGUCUCUGGGCAGUAACUGACGCUGAGGAGCGAAAGCGUGGGGAGCGAACAGG
rnacentral:rRNA from 1 species